UAUUUGUAACUGUUAGCUCGCUUUUGCAACGUGGCGGUAUUCCCAGUAAAAAUUUUACUCAGCAUUAUAUAACUUACAAUAAUAUUUUUAAGGUUUUACCAGACCGGAGCAGUUUCAGUUUGCUAUGUGCCUGUGUUGUGACUAAGGAGAAAAAACAUUUCUUACUACGUUUUCAGUAUAGAAGGCCAUAGAAUAGUCUCAUUCAUUCAAAACAUUUGUAUUGCAUACUCACUAUGUUUCAAGCAGUGUUUUUCUGAUAUUUCCAUUGUGUCCUGAAAAAUGUAUCUUGUAAAAUGGCAUUUUGUAAUGGCAAACUUUUUAGAACAGUGAACAUGUAUGAACUUUUUUCAAAACAUCAUCUUUGCUGUAUGUCAAAAAAAGCAGGAAUUAGACAAACCCUCUGGUGAAUUUUAUGACUGAGAAUUGCUGGGAAUGAUUUGCUUAUUUAUUCAUACAUGAAAUAAAACAUUAUCUAAAAGAAAGGAAGAUGGCGUUGGUGUGAAACGCUGGUGUGUGGUUAUGUUUUGUGGAAUAGGAAACUUAGAUAUAUACAUUUAACAUCAUAUAUGUUACAGGCUGGUAGACAGUGAAGAUCUUUCACAGAGUUACAGAGUAAAAAUAUUCUUUACCCGGGUGAUAGCUGGAGGAUAUUUUAACUAAUUCACGUAUGGAGGACACUAAUUUGACUGCUCAAUCCUUGGAUAUCAGGAAAUUCAUAUCUCUUUAUUUCCUAAUGUUACAUUCACCUGCCUUGAGGCACCACACUCGUGUGUCGGGGGGAAUUCAAUCCCACCUGUUUUGUGGGCACUCUUCACACCCCCUGACUGAGGGGCAUACAAAAAUUCAGGGAUCUCAUGUGGUCCAGACCAUAGGGAAGGGCCUGCUUGUCUUCGGUCCACCCUGGCCACUUCUGAAAAGCUCCUCGUCUGGCGCUUGUGUCUUGGACCUCACUGGGUGGAGUGUCGCCAGCCCUGGGUCGGGAGUGAGGGGACAGCUCCGUGAGAACAGGUAGGUUCUGCUCUCAGGCACUGGGAGCCUGAGGUGGAGCUGAGGGCAGAAGAAGCCAAUGCUCUUAGGGCAAGAGCACGGAGAACAGAUGCUCUUCCCGGAGAGGAGCCUUCGGGAGGGAGUCGCCAGGCGGCCAGGGGAGCUGGUGCUCAGAUGUGGCAGGUUCCAGACCAUGACUGUGAAGCCCUCAGAUGCUUAUUCCAAAUCUUCCCACUUUUUAGCCCACAAAGCUACAGCCAAACCAGCCCCUGGCCCUGAAUGACUUCUCUAUAAACGCUGCUGUGUAAGUGCCUGAAAUUCGAUGUGCCAUGACUGAAUUCACUCACAUAAAUAUGUCAGUUAUAGAAAUGGUCCAAUCAAUUCGGGAAGAGUAGCAACAUGUGGUUUUUGGUACCUCACUGCAGGGAGAAAAACUUUCAGAGGAAGGAUAUUGCAGAUUGAAGAUUCUAAUAGAAAAUGUCUCUGCCCUCGCAACAUUGAAAUGCACGGACACGCCAUAAUUCAUCUUUGGAGAAACCAGCGAAGGCGUAGGGAGCUUAUUGGGGAUCCAGUAUGUAACCCUGGUCACUGUUCCAUCAUUCGGGCCUUUUACUCAUGGGUCUCCUUUCACACUUGUAACAAUCUCCAACCUACCUCUGCCACCAUCUUCCUUCCUCAUUCUUGCUUCUCCGACCCAAAGGAUCUGAGACAACCCAAAACUACAAAGACCUGGUUCUCCAUGAGGUGCCAUUCGGCUCACCUUGGCUGUCACCAGUACUUGGCAGGUCUUCCCUCCACUUGUCCUUGGCAGGUCUCCACAAGGGCUGUCCCACACAGUUCUCUCUCCUCGCCUCCCCCGCCCCCAGUCCUACCCGCUGAGAGUCAAGGCAGUAAAAUGUGUGAGCACAUGGGUGUGGACAUGAGCAGUUGAGCACUCACCAGCUGUAGGACCUUUGCCAAUUUCUUAACUGCAUCUGGAGAAUGAAGAUGAUAAUACAUAAAACGUAACCUCCAACAUUUGUGAGCCUACAGGAUAAUAUCUGGAAAGUCCCUAGUGUGUGAGGGCAGGGUUUUAUGAAUGUCAUCUGUGAUAGUGGGUAACCUCCCUUAAAAAGAAGGAACAACCUCAUUCCUCCUUUAUUUGGAAAACGAAGUGCCCUCUGAAUGUUGUCCUUAAUAUACUUGGUAUUAAUUUCCACGUAUCACUUUGUUUCCACCUAAUCGCCUUUUCCUUGAUGUACCUGCAAACCUGUGUUCUUGUCGUUGUUUAUCCCUGAGGUUCCUUGUCCCCACAAUUAUCCCGCCUUCUCUGCCAUCUUCCUUGGCCUGAGGCAAACUCUGAGACUCUUGAGCACAGUUUCGGAAGUGCUAUCCUCUCGGGUUUCCUUGUAUCACCCACUACCCUGUGCUGUGUUCUCCACUUUUUUCUGUGUUGUAGGCUAUGGUUCACUUCUUACUAUUCACUCUGAGAGUUUCCACAGGAUAUUGAGUCACAGAGUGUUGCUAACAUUUUGAGAAGAGCUAAUAACAGUUGGAGCCAGAUACUUCUCCAUGACUUACCAGGAGGAGGCAGAACUGCCCAGGUAACCAAGGUGCUGUUUGUCCUUUUCCAAAUAUAACAUCGCGGUUAGGAGCACACAUUUUUGGAGCCAGACUACCUGGGUUUGAGUUGGGUUAAAUAAAUCAAUUAUUAAGAAUGAUGGUGGUAUCUUUAUAAUUCACAUAAGGAUUCAACCAAGAAUCCUGUUUGAUGCAGUCAGCAAGGCAGGACGAUUUUUGUCCUAAAGGGGUUUCUUGGAUCCAUCCUUCUAAUCCCGUCGGUAUUUCUUUAUUCAGCGACUCCUUUGUGCCACCCAUUGUCUCAUUUGUGCCUCAUAAUAAGUUAGUGAUACAGAAGCUAUU